rnacentral:rRNA from 1 species
UUUAAAGGAGAAGCAUCCCCCCCCCCUUUUUUUUAGGUUUUCCCCGUCAAAAAAACUGGCCCGGGGGGCUUGCGGCAGCUACACCUGCAAAGUGGGGCGGUAGCACAGAGAGUUUUUUCUUGGGUGAACGGGGGGCGGAGGGGUGAGUAAUUUUUGGGAAACUGCCUUGAUGGAGGGGGAUAAUUUUUGGAAACGGUGGCUUAAUCCCGCCUAAAUUUGCGCAAGACCAAAGUGGGGGGACCUUUGGGCCUCCAUGCCUUCAGAUGUGGCCCCAGAUGGGAUUAGCUUUUAGGUGGGGUAACGGUUCACCUUAGGCGACGAUCCCUAGCUGGUUUGGAGAGGAUGACCCAGCCCCACUGGAAUUGGGACACGGUCCAGAUUCCUACGGGAGGCAGCAGUGGGGAAUAUUGCACAAUGGGCGCAAGCCUGAUGCAGCCAUGCCGCGUGUGUUGAAGAAGGCCUUCGGGUUGUAAAGCACUUUCAGCGGGGAGGAAGGCGUUAAGGUUAAUAACCUUGUCGAUUGACGUUACCCGCAGAAGAAGCACCGGCUAACUCCGUGCCAGCAGCCGCGGUAAUACGGAGGGUGCAAGCGUUAAUCGGAAUUACUGGGCGUAAAGCGCACGCAGGCGGUCUGUCAAGUCGGAUGUGAAAUCCCCGGGCUCAACCUGGGAACUGCAUUCGAAACUGGCAGGCUAGAGUCUUGUAGAGGGGGGUAGAAUUCCAGGUGUAGCGGUGAAAUGCGUAGAGAUCUGGAGGAAUACCGGUGGCGAAGGCGGCCCCCUGGACAAAGACUGACGCUCAGGUGCGAAAGCGUGGGGAGCAAACAGGAUUAGAUACCCUGGUAGUCCACGCCGUAAACGAUGUCGAUUUGGAGGUUGUGCCCUUGAGGCGUGGCUUCCGGAGCUAACGCGUUAAAUCGACCGCCUGGGGAGUACGGCCGCAAGGUUAAAACUCAAAUGAAUUGACGGGGGCCCGCACAAGCGGUGGAGCAUGUGGUUUAAUUCGAUGCAACGCGAAGAACCUUACCUGGUCUUGACAUCCACAGAACUUUCCAGAGAUGGAUUGGUGCCUUCGGGAACUGUGAGACAGGUGCUGCAUGGCUGUCGUCAGCUCGUGUUGUGAAAUGUUGGGUUAAGUCCCGCAACGAGCCGCAACCCUUAUCCUUUGUUGCCAGCGGUUCGGCCGGGAACUCAAAGGAGACUGCCAGUGAUAAACUGGAGGAAGGUGGGGAUGACGUCAAGUCCUCCUGGCCCUUACGACCAGGGCUACCACACUUUUUACAAUGGGCAUAUACAAAGAGAAGCGACCUCGCGAGAGACAAGCGGACCUCAUAAAGUAUGUCGUAUUCCGGAUUGGAAUUCUGCACCUCGACUCCCUGAAAGUCGGAAUCGCUGGUAAUCCCGUAGAUCAGAAUUUCUCCGGUGAAUACUUUCCCGGGCCUUUUACACACCGCCCGUCACACCCUGGGAGUGGGUUUGCAAAAGAAGUAGGUGGUUUUACCUUUCGGGAGGGCGCUUCCCCCUUUUUUUUUCCCGUGGGGAAAUUUAA